CCUGUUUCCUCGCGCUCGCCCCCGGCUAGAAAAUUGGCUCCUCCACCUGGUGAGACCGUGGCCUCCUCUUGGCCACCUCUCUAUGCUGUCCAGGAUCGUGAGAUUCAUCUUGGACCUGGCAUCAAAAUGCGAGAAGCAGC